rnacentral:rRNA from 1 species
UGGGGAAUCUUGCACAAUGGGGGAAACCCUGAUGCAGCGACGCCGCGUGAGUGAUGAAGGCCUUCGGGUUGUAAAGCUCUUUCGGCAGGGAAGAUGAUGACGGUACCUGCAGAAGCAGCUGCGGCUAACUACGUGCCAGCAGCCGCGGUAAUACGUAGGCAGCAAGCGUUGUUCGGAGUUACUGGGCGUAAAGGGUGUGUAGGCGGUUCUUUAAGUUUGGUGUGAAAUCUCCCGGCUCAACCGGGAGGGUGCGCCGAAGACUGGAGAUCUCGAGUGCGGGAGAGGAGAGUGGAAUUCCUGGUGUAGCGGUGAAAUGCGUAGAUAUCAGGAGGAACACCGGUGGUGUAGGCGGCUCUCUGGACCGUUACUGACGCUGAGACACGAAAGCGUGGGGAGCAAA